AUUUAAGGGCUGACCACCACUGGGGAAGGAGCUCUUUCUGGAGAUCCCUUCUUGGUGAAGCUUUUCCCUUUAAACCUAGAAUCUUCUGAUCUGGACAAUGAAAUCUUCAUGGAAGGGAUUGAUUCGCCAUGCACAUCUUCAAUGCCUAGCACUCAGCUGCAUCCUUCUGUGGUAACUGUGCAUCAAAUCUAAUGUAGUGAGAGCUGAUAAUGUGUCUGCCACAAACUGCUAGGUGAUGGACAGCACUGAGCACGAGGGUCCUGCUUCUUGUCUGGCACCCAGGAACCAUAAUUAUGUAAGAAGUAAAACCAGUUCAAAUCUGGAUUUUAAGAGGUCUGGUUUUGACAAUGAUUUGCUAUGUAUCCACAGUAAUGAAAAAACAAACACCAGUGAAGUACUUCAGAGCCCUCAUUUGUAUAAAAUUAGAUGCUUUCCUUUCUCUCUCUGUCAAAACUCCAUCGAAGAGCAGAAUCUCUGUGCCCCAGGAAGCUUAGCUGUGAAUAUUUGAGCUAUUCCAGCUCUCAUGUUAUAGCUUGGUGCCUACAGUCACAAUUUAUUAAUAUGUGUAUGCAUUAUUUCCCACCAGGCUGCCUGGAAAAACACUUUCUAUCUUGGUAUGUAUUUUUGCUUAAUUUGCAGUGGCUUGCAGACUCACACUCCCUCUAAAUGUUAUGUACACUGAUCUAAUUUAUUUACAAUUAGUUCAGAUGGAAAACUGCUGGAAGGUGAUAGUGUCACACAGUAAAGCCAGUGGAGAAGCCAGUCCUCCUAGCAUGCAACUGCUUACCCAUGCCAGUCAAUAUUGAGAUAUUUUGACUAUACAGAUACAUUGAGGCAUGAGUAUCAAGUCUACGCAGAUGUGGCAUUCAGACCUUAAGAUAGCAGUUGCCUUUACAAAGGCAGUGAAUUAAGUUAGAUGACUGAUGGGAUCAGACCGAUAGAUGAUGGUACGUAGAUUUGGCCGAGCACCCCUGAUUUCUCUUUCAUAGCUCUAAGUGUCACUGCAAAUUGUUUUAACAUAAUUUUGAAUGUGUAAAUCUGACCGUAGGUAAUAAAUCAGCCCGAAUGCAUCAGCUAGUGGCCUUGUCUGUGCAUUCUAACACUUUGUUGUGUCCCUCUGGUUUGAAUAUAGCUGUCAUUCUGUGACAUCCAGAAGGAAAUUUAUGUACACAGAAAAGGAAGCAUUUAAGUGACUCAAACACAAGAAAAAAACUUACAAGUAGCAAGAAAAAGGCUUGAGCUACAGAUGGCUGAAGUUAGGCACCAUAAGUGCAGGUGAUGUUACGGUAGGUUUGUGGGUUGGAUUUCUGAACCAUGUAGGCACUGAUAGAUGGAUGCUCGGUGUGAAUUUGGCAUCUGUCUGCUCAGUAACCAUUCCUGGGUUAUAGUCUUGCCUGGCAGGGAUUGCUUUGGAGGAUUACUCAUGCUUUUAAAAUCCAUGGAUCCUACCAAAAUAAAAGGAUCCUUGGGUCAGCAGAGAUGACUGUUGCUCAGACUCAUAGUUGCGAUAUGUCCAAGCUUGUUCCCAGUGCCUUUGAGCUUCAGGGUAAAGCUAUAGAAAAGGAUUACAGGUUUCCCUUCUCAUUACAACAGCUCUAGUAGAAUCUAAGUCGUGAAUCAUACUUGCUCCAGAGUCUCUUUAUGCUCAGAAGCUGAUUAGCUGUUGAAAUAAUCCAGCUUUGAUGGCAAGCAAUGCCUUAUUAAUACCACAACUGACUGCUUUUCUCCCAUCAUUUGCUUUUAAUGGAUCCUGUGCUCCUUUGUUCCUCCCUCUGCCUGUGGAGCUCUCAGAAAGGUUUGGUGACUGUGAUCCAACCGUCUGCUUGGAUGCACAUUCUCUGCAUCAAAACAAAGCCUAAAAUGCAAAUGCCACUGGUUGUGUUCUGGUUUUAGGAUCUCUUCAAAGCGUAAACAUGAUCUGACAGUCCUUCUUCUGCAACUAAGCAUUACACAGGGAUUUACUGUGCUCGUCUGUGCAGGGAUGUGCUGGGUCCUAGGCAGACUGUAAUUCUUUUGCAUGGUCUCCAUCUGUUCCACUGUGCAUGAAGAGCAGCCCUGGAGGUGAUACUCCUCUCCCCUAUGGACCCAGGGAAGAUCUGAUCCCGCAGCCCAUGAUCUCAAGAAUGUGAAGCACAGUCACAACCCCAUGUCAGAUGGAGGGGACUGAUUCCAGCAGAAGCAACAAGCAGGGCAGAGAGAUGGAGAGACUCAGCUGAUACAGAUGGACCAACACCACCACACACCCCUUGCCAGCCUUUCCCUGCCCACCUUCCUAGCUGCAAGAAAAUGAGAGAGAUAACAUGAAAGGAUUCAAUCUGCAGCUGUUAAAAGGAAAAUACUUUGUCCUACAAAACUUCCUUCAUCCUAUGUAAGUUACCUCAAAGACAUCCUCGAGAUGUAGCAGUGAGUUGUUUUCUUUUUCCUGUGCUUGUUAAGUAGCAGCUAAAUGGCAAAAUUUGUUGCUGAACACUAAGCAGUAGAUGCUAAAUGGCUUUAAAUUAGCCUACACUAGUACUGCAGCUGGCAAAGCUACCUUCUCCUGGCUUAGUCAGUUGCUGGGCAUGAACUGCUGCAGAGCCCAGGUUUCACCUGGGACCUUUCAAACAUCGAAUGACUCUGCAGUAGCUGAAAAACUCAGCAGGACUCCUGUCCAGAUUACUGUAUCACAGAGAAGGCUCUGCUGUCACUGUCUCAUAUUUAGGGAAGCUAUGGAGAAAGGUGACUGCUGCUCUCGGGCAGACCAGUAGUUGCAGUGAGCAUCUCCUGGGCUUGGGCUCUGCGGUGCUGCCUGCUCUCCAAGCGUUCAUCUUUAAACCAGUUCCUUCUUAAGCUGAAUGAUGAACUAUGGCUCUAGUGCAAAUAUUUAACCUAAGUCUCUUAAAAUUUUGUCAACAUACUUGGCAGUGUUUUGGGGAAAUAAAACUACCCAGU
ensembl:lncRNA